CAACAUCAUUUGGACGUGCACCUUGCUGCGAUAGCUCCUCCCUGUACAGACUGCAUGGCAUACUUUAUUCAUAAGCAUAUUUUCAAAUUUAAUAAACAUAACAUAAAUUAUGUAGCACAUACCAAACUAACUUACGUCAAAUAUUCCUGUACUUCAUCAGCAUUAUGUAGCACAUACCAAACUAACUUAUUCAUGGUAGCAUCAUCAAUGUACUCAGUCUUAGUACCUCCAACAAGAGUAGCACCAUGCUUAAAAACAGACAUGUCAUUAGGCAAUGGCAUCUCUGUACCACUAUCAUCAUCCUGGUUAAAUCUAGUGUCAACAUCCUUCAUGUACCUAGAACAAAAUGUUAAGGUAUCACUUGACAUAUAUGCCUCAGCAAUUGAUCCUUCCGGCCUAGCCCUGUUCCUUACAAAAUUUUUCCUGGUACUCAUAAAUCAAAAUCCUUUCCUGGACAUCUUGGACCUGGGAUGAGUAAAGACAUAAAGCAGUUUGUUGGAUUCACGCAUUCCCAUGGUGGGAGAUUAAGCGGUGUCACAAGCACUGGCCACAUACUGUACUGGGUACUCAUGUUGCCAAAUGGAUUGAAUCCAUCGGUAGCUAAGGCUAGCCUCAGGUUCCUCGGAUCAUUUGCAAAACCUGGGUACUUUCGGUCAAAGUCCUUCCACGCUUCCCCAUCAGCUGGAUGGCUCAUCACAUUGGCGACUGGCUUCCUCACUUUCUUGUGCCAUUGUGUUUCCUCUGAAGUUUGUUUUGAAGCAAAAAUUCUUUUCAACCUUGGCAACAGUGGAAAAUGCCUCAAAACCUUAUGUGGAACCCGCUUCGAACCAGUUUCAUCUUUCCAUCUAGACUCUGUGCAUACUGGGCACUCAUUCAAUUUAGCAUUAACAUUCCGAAACAACACACAAUUGUUCUUGCACACAUGGAUGUUUUCGUAUCCAAGGCCCAAUUCUUUAAGAUAUUUCAUGGCCUCAUUAUAUGAUUUUGGCAACUCACUAUUAGGGUAUCCAUCGGACAUCAGCUUCAUCAUUGCUGAAAAUGCUGUAUUGCUGAUUCGAUAACGAGACUUCAUAUACAACAUCCUCACCAUAAAAGAAAAUUUUGAAUGGCUAGAACCCGGACUAAGUGCCUUCUUUGCAUCUCCAAGAACUCCUGCAAAUCUUGGCUCUUCUCCAUCAGCCUCUGCCGUUGCAAACAGUUCACCGAUCAUCUCAGGUACUCCAUGAUCAUCAUCGUAAACAUCAUCGUCCACAUCCAUAUUUAUCCCAAAGUCAUUAUCAUAUCCUUCGACAUCCUCCUCUAUACCCUCAACUUCUGUAUCUGCCGACUCCCCAUGAUGAAUCCACCUCGUGUAUGUAGCUGACAUUCCAUAAAUGUGUAUAUGAGUUUCUACUUCACUCUGAGGUCGCAACCUUUGAUUAAGACAAUUCACGCACGGACAACGAAUGUCUGUGUCUUCUGGGUAUCUUUCAGUAACAAAAUUCAUGAACUCUUCAACUCCUUUCACAUAUGCAGGUGUGAAUUGUUUCCCAUAAACCCAUCUUCUAUCCAUCUAUUUUGACAAUAAAUUAAAACUUGCAUUAACUCCAUAACUAUGAUUACAUUGAACAAAAUUGAAAACCACAUCAAACACAUGCAUAUAUGAAAUAAAAUUCAAACGCACAUAGAACCUUAUUGACAAAAACACAACACAUCAAACCUUGUCUUUUCUCCCCGCCCUGCCGCUGUUCUGUCCACGCCCGCCGUAGCUAUGCGCAAGACGCCGCUGCUUUGCCGCGCCCGAAGCUUCUCUGCCUCGCUGUUUGCAGACGACGCCGUUCUUCCAACACAGUUGGAUCAAUGGAUCAGGCGACAAGAUCGCUCGUUCGCUGCGACGCUACCCAGUUGCCGAUCAAGCGGACGACGACAGACGCCGGCGUCGUUGUGUGCCGUAACCUGACGGCCGAUCGCACAAGCGCAGAUCGCAGCAGGAAAAAACAGAACAGGCGUGAUCGCAGAAUGGCGGCUGGGAAAACCUGUUAACAUAACGACAGAUGGGAACACAUUAAUAAACGGGAAGUUUCUUUAUAUACACGAACAAGUCCGUAGUCUGGUGGUAGCAACGAUUUAACGCAAGCCGCAGGUCCCUGGUUCGAAGCUCUGCGGGUGCACCUUUUUUUUGCCAAAUAACUAACUGCCGCUUCGUACUGGGCCGGGUCCGCGUCGCCAGGUGGGGGCUGUGUCCCCAAAAAACUGCGGCCCAUGUAGGCCAAGGAUCCCACGCCGUGUGUACACGUGGGCCGUUUUUUACUAAAACUCAUCUGUGACCAAUUUAUUUCAGCAUUACGUCAGCCGAUCAAGCCAAAUUAAUCUGUGACGUUCCUUUCAUUUUCGUCUAUGACGUUCCUUUCAUUUUCGUCUUUAAUAUUCAAGUCUAAUCUUCGUCCCUUGUAAUUGUUGACGAAGCUAUCAAUUUGGUCAUAGAAAUGUAUCAAUCUGUGACUGAAGUCACCAGCGUCACUAGAAAAUCGUCACUGAUGAUCACAUUCUUACUAGUGUUCCCUCCUUUUUUUAAUAUGAUCUCGCAAUGACAUACUCAUUGUAGAACUAAAGAAUAUAUAUUUUUUGUCAGUUAGAAGUUAAAAUAAUAAAAUAGACUUAAAGCAAAUCAUGUAUCAUUUCAAAAGUACAAGUAAUAAGGACUAAAGUAAACCAUAUAUACGUACAAAGAAUUUAAUACCUUUUGGAGUUGGUACCGGAUCCCAAGAGGGAGGAGGUUCACCUUCCCCAACUAUAAUUGGUGUUGUAGGGAUCUACAUGUAACAACUCAAAUAAGUAGCUGGAAAACACAUGAAUCUAGGCACACAAAUGAAUCCGAACAAAUAAAUCUACACAGGACAAAUGAAUCUAGGUUUGUACUUAGAGAAUGAUUUAAACAACGCAGAUUUGGAAAGCUAAUCUGGACAUUUUUGAAAAACAAAACAAAACAAAACAAUUAGAGAAUGAUUUAACAUUUAAUCAGUAUAGCACAAACAAGAAGCACAAGUAGCACAAACAAUUAGAGAAUGAAUUUAGGCAAUACGCCGCUGGCUGUGACCAGUGGCGGAGCCAGACAAAAACCAAAGCCUGGGCACCGUGGAGAGGGAAGGGACGGCGACGUGUUGAGGUUAGGAUGAGACCACCACUGGCAGCCGCGCUUUCUUCUUCCUUGAUAGACUGCAAUAGAAACUACACCACUUCACGUCCUCGCUCUGCUUCCCGUGGAUCAGCCUGGCGGGGUUCCCCACAGCGGUGCUCUUGUGCGGCAGGUCGAAGAGCACCGCAAAGGAGCAGAGCUUGCUGGCGGGUGUAAGUGUAAGGCGAGGGAGCGGUCCAGGGACGGGAGCGACAACACCGUGGCAUAGAGGAAGGAGGCUAGCACCGGCUCGCGUCCGCGUCGCGGCCUUGAUCUGGGACCACCCACGGCAGGUACGAGUACGACGACACAAUGUCCGCUUGAAGCCACCGCCGGAGCCGAGCCCGGGCACGUGCCCAGGCAUGCCGGGCUCUGGCUCCGCCCAUGGCUGUGACGGUUGGGCCGGCGCUCCAUUACCCCAAUCCGCCCAACCCUGACAAGGUGUUCUACAUCAACAAGAAGGAGGCGCCUCUGCUCAAGACGAACCCUCUCAUCCUAGUGCUGCAUAUACCUAUCUAUGCAAUUGGCUGUAGCACGAGUAGCUGCUCGUGCCUUGUCUCUGGUUCGUUACUCCGUCCAGAUCUCACACACAGAGCACUAGUAUCGCACCAGUGGAUGAAGGAGCUAUUGCAACCAUAGAAGAUACAGGGUACUUUACGGAGGGUAGCUCGUACUGGUGAGAAGGUGGUGGGGAGACUUGCCGUCGGAGUUGUGCGGCGCCGCCGUCUCUUCACCUCCUGCGGCGCCAGUGCUGCGUCGUGCCCUACAGCCAGGAUCCGAUCCGGAGGUGAUUGUGCCAGUGUUUGUUCCAGGCCGUGGAAGGAGGAGAAAAUCUGAACUGGGUCAGGUUUACAUCCAGUCCAGGCCCAAACGAACGGUUCCAGCGGCUCCAACCAAAUUUCAAUCCGGCCCAAUCUAUUUCGCCCGGAAAAGACCAGGAACAACCCAAUCCCACCGAUACGAACAAGGCCUAAAUUUGGGUGGACAAGGGAAGGGGAAAG
rnacentral:lncRNA from 1 species